CGGUCGUCCCUGCUCUUCUCCCCUAUUCUCCUCUCUGUUCGGAGGAUCUGUUCCCCUCGGAACCGAACUGACUGAAAGUUCCUCUCUUCUCUGCAAUGAAUCAAUGAUCUUUGUUUGUGUGGAUUUUUUAGUUAGGGACAUGAACAAAUGGCUUCCUUUCUGGCAAAGAUGAUGAUGUCAUGGUAGCUGCUGCUACAUUCUCCACCCUCGUCCUCAUAAGCAUCUGGGAGCUCAGCUCUUCCUUUCCAUCGGAAUUCCCUUUCUUCGUUCCUUCCCUGGACACGACAUUAUCCGGAAAAGGGUGACUUGGAAGUCUCAUCUCUCUGAUGAAUUGUUCUUUUCUUUUUUCCCCCCCAAUAGCUCGAAGAAUGUAGACAAGGAUCCUGAUGAUGAUGGGAGGCAGCGCUUCUUGCUCGAAUUGGAAUUCGUGCAGUGUCUCGCCAAUCCUACGUACAUCCAUGAAUUAGCGCAUCAGCAGCAGUUCUUUUUCUGGAAGAAUUUUAGGAAUAAUAGAUUAAAGCACAUCUUACCAAGGCCCCUUCCCGAGCCUGCUCUUGCUCCCUUUGCUCCGGCUCCCCCUCCAGCACCUGCGCCACAUGCAACGAUGGCUGCUACAGCUCCUCCCCCUCCAGCCCUUUCUCCAAUGCAAUAUGUUGUUCCCCCUGGUUCUUCUCUCAUGAAGAAUGAAUGAUAUGAGGAACACUGCGAUUGAUCGGAGGAAGAGAAAGUAUGCCCCUGCUUCUGAUCCAGUCUUGCACUACUAGUUUUUUCUGUCAGUUUCUUGGAGGUUCAUAUCUUAUUCUCGUUACUGGUGCGGAUGAUCAGUGUGCAUUCCAAAACUUCUUCUCAAUGAAAAGAUCGUUGCGUUGAAUA